rnacentral:rRNA from 1 species
UAAGCGGGUGGAGCUGAAAUUGGUGUGGUGAUUGAUGUCUGCCGAUUGACGGUUGGAUAGAGUUAGAUCGUUAUAGACUAUUCUGUUUGACUGUAUUGAUUGGUUGGCUGUUUAUCCCAUGCUUUAACCACGAUCGGCGGUAUGACUGUGCUACCAUUGCGGAGAAGGUGCCCAAUUUACUAUCUUGUAUUUUGGUGUUAUAGCUCUGCUUUGUGGUUUCGGUUUGCUGUCGUGAAGAUGGAUAUGGAAGUACGUGUUGGUAUUGGUGUCGUGUAAUGUUAUGACUUUUAAAGUUGUUAUGUUGCUACGAUGUCUAUUGCUGGUGCCUCUGCUCUGUAAUCCUAAAUCAGUGGUUUAAAGUAGGCGUUCCACCCGGCCCGUCUUGAAACACGGACCAAGGAGUCUAACAUGUACGCAAGUCAUAGGGUUCUACGAAACCUAAAGGCGCAUUGAAAGAGAAGGUUGCCUUGUUGCAACUCAGCUAUGAUCCUAAUGCUCUCGGGUGUUGGGCGCAAUAGCGGCUUGUCUCAUACUCUUUGAGUGAGGCAAAGCAAGAGCGUACAUGAUGGUACCCGAAAGAUGGUGAACUAUGCUUGCAUAGGUUGAAGCCAGGGGAAACUCUGGUGGAGGACCGCAGCGCUUCUGACGUGCAAAUCGAUCGUCAAAUGUGAGUAUAGGGGCGAAAGACUAAUCGAACCAUCUAGUAGCUGGUUCCCUGCGAAGUUUCCCUCAGGAUAGCUGGUACUCGGGAAUCAAACAGUUUUAUCCGGUAAAGCGAAUGAUUAGAAGUAUUGGGGACGAAAUGUCCUCAACUUAUUCUCAAACUUUAAAUGGGUAAGAAGCUGCACUCUCCUAAACGGAGUGUGGCAUUGAAUGUGAGUGCCUAGUGGGCCAUUUUUGGUAAGCAGAACUGGCGAUGUGGGAUGAACCAAAAGCGGUGGUUAAGGCGCCUAAAUGUACGCUCAUGACAUACCACAAAAGGUGUUGGUUGAUAUAGACAGCAGGACGGUGGCCAUGGAAGUUGGAAUCCGCUAAGGAGUGUGUAACAACUCACCUGCCGAAUCAACCAGCCCUGAAAAUGGAUGGCGGUGGAGCGUUCUGCCUAUACCGCGCCGUUACUGCUAGGAAUUGACUGUAUGCAGUAACGUGUAGCAGGGCGAAAUGGUAAGCCUUGAAGCUUAGACUGUAAAGUCAAGUGGAGCUGCCAUUUUGUGCA